rnacentral:tRNA from 1 species
GGGGUUGUGGCUCACUGGUAGAGUGCUUGCCUUGCAAGUGUGAGGCCCUGGGUUUGAUUCUCAGCACCA